rnacentral:rRNA from 1 species
GACGAACGCUGGCGGCGUGCCUAAUACGUGCAAGUAGAACGCUGAAGGAGGAGCUUGCUUCUCUGGAUGAGUUGCGAACGGGUGAGUAACGCGUAGGUAACCUGCCUGGUAGCGGGGGAUAACUAUUGGAAACGAUAGCUAAUACCGCAUAAUAGCAGUUGUUGCAUGACAACUGUUUGAAAGGUGCAAUUGCACCACUACCAGAUGGACCUGCGUUGUAUUAGCUAGUUGGUGGGGUAACGGCUCACCAAGGCGACGAUACAUAGCCGACCUGAGAGGGUGAUCGGCCACACUGGGACUGAGACACGGCCCAGACUCCUACGGGAGGCAGCAGUAGGGAAUCUUCGGCAAUGGACGGAAGUCUGACCGAGCAACGCCGCGUGAGUGAAGAAGGUUUUCGGAUCGUAAAGCUCUGUUGUAAGAGAAGAACGAGUGUGAGAGUGGAAAGUUCACACUGUGACGGUAUCUUACCAGAAAGGGACGGCUAACUACGUG